CAGUAGCCGCGGUAAUACGGAGGGUGCAAGCGUUAAUCGGAAUUACUGGGCGUAAAGCGCACGCAGGCGGUUUGUUAAGUCAGAUGUGAAAUCCCCGAGCUUAACUUGGGAACUGCAUUUGAAACUGGCAAGCUAGGGUCUUGUAGAGGGGGGUAGAAUUCCGGGUGUAGCGGUGAAAUGCGUAGAGAUCUGGAGGAAUACCGGUGGCGAAGGCGGCCCCCUGGACAAAGACUGACGCUCAGGUGCGAAAGCGUGGGGAGCAAACAGGAUUAGAUACCCCUGUAGUCCCUGUCUCUUAUAC
rnacentral:rRNA from 1 species